AGGGAAUCUUCCGCAAUGGACGAAAGUCUGACGGAGCAACGCCGCGUGAGUGAAGAAGGCCUUCGGGUCGUAAAGCUCUGUUGCCGGGGAAGAACAAGUAUCGUUCGAAUAGGGCGGUACCUUGACGGUACCUAACCAGAAAGCCACGGCUAACUACGUGCCAGCAGCCGCGGUAAUACGUAGGUGGCAAGCGUUGUCCGGAAUUAUUGGGCGUAAAGCGCGCGCAGGCGGCUUCUUAAGUCUGAUGUGAACUCUUGCGGCUCAACCGCAAGCGGUCAUUGGAAACUGGGAGGCUUGAGUGCAGAAGAGGAGAGUGGAAUUCCACGUGUAGCGGUGAAAUGCGUAGAGAUGUGGAGGAACACCAGUGGCGAAGGCGGCUCUCUGGUCUGUAACUGACGCUGAGGCGCGAAAGCGUGGGGAGCAAAC
rnacentral:rRNA from 1 species